AUCACGAAAGAUAGUUAAUACGCCUGCUACUGGGAGCCAAUAGGAUGUGUAGAUUUGGGUGCCAGGAGGUUCACACCCACCAAACGCCUAAGAAUACUGUCACUCCGGUAAACUCUAAAACAAGCAAAAAAAACGUUCUCCUACUUUGGAAAACCCUUGACAGUACUUCAUGUGUGUUAAUAUUUGUUUGUUGUUUUUUAUAUUUCCA